rnacentral:lncRNA from 1 species
CUUUGCCUUUCUUGUUAUCUUUAGGUGAGGAGGGGAAUAUGGCACAAUUUUUGUUAAAUAAUUAUUUACAAAUAAUCCAAUUAUUUGCAUUAGGACAUUCCUGUUGAAUCACGGGACACACAGAGGGAGUCUGUAAAAGUGUUGAUUUUACACUGGACUUUUCACCUACAAAGAGCUGCCCAGUAGGGUGAAGUUCAAAGCUCACAAAAGGAGUACAGGGCCUCUUGAAACUGGAAGAAUUCCUGCUUCUUCAAAUUCCAAAUUGGAGCACCAGUCAAGGUGAACCACAGUGAUUGGCCAAAACCGUGGACAAGGACGUGUAACAGAGACUCAGAAAUAAAGGCCAGUGCAAGAAGGACAGGUGCUGUAGCAUAUUGAGCUGGUUGUCUGAGCCCUUACUCUUGCCUGUGUGCACACCAUCAUGACUGGAUGAC